AUUGAACGCUGGCGGCAGGCCUAACACAUGCAAGUCGAGCGAGCGGCGGACGGGUGAGUAAUGUAUGGGGAACUGCCCGAUAGAGGGGGAUAACUACUGGCAACGGUAGCUAAUACCGCAUACUAUCGGAUGUACCCAGAUGGGAUUAGCUAGUAGUUGGGGUAAAGGCUCACCUAGGCGACGAUCUCUAGCUGGUCUGAGAGGAUGAUCAGCCACACUGUGACUGAGACACGGCCCAGACUCCUACGGGAGGCAGCAGUGGGGUGUAUUGCACAAGGGGCGGGAGCCUGGUGCAGCCAUGCCGCGUGGAUGGAAAGGGCCUUGGGGUUGUAGAGUACUUUCAGCGGGGAGGCGUUACCCGCAGAAGAAGCACCGGCUAACUCCGUGCCAGCAGCCGCGGUAAUAC
rnacentral:rRNA from 1 species